rnacentral:rRNA from 1 species
GUAGGUUAAGCUACUAAGGGCACACGGUGGAUGCCUUGGCGCUAGGAGCCGAUGAAGGACGGGACGAACUCCGAUAAGCUUCGGGGAGCU